rnacentral:rRNA from 1 species
ACGCAAUAGAUACCCCGGUAGUCCACGCCCUAAACGAUGUCUACUAGUUGUCGGGUCUUAAUUGACUUGGUAAACGCAGCUAAACGCGUGAAGUAGACCGCCUGGGUAGUACGGUCGCAAGAUUAAAACUCAAAGGAAUUGACGGGGACCCGCACAAGCGGUGGAUGAUGUGGAUUAAUUCGAUGCAACGCGAAAAACCUUACCUACCCUUGACAUGGAUGGAAUCCCUGAGAGAUUGGGGAGUGCUCGAAAGAGAACCAUUACACAGGUGCUGCAUGGCUGUCGUCAGCUCGUGUCGUGAGAUGUUGGGUUAAGUCCCGCAACGAGCGCAACCCUUGUCAUUAGUUGCUACGAAAGGGCACUCUAAUGAGACUGCCGGUGACAAACCGGAGGAAGGUGGGGAUGACGUCAAGUCCUCAUGGCCCUUAUGGGUAGGGCUUCACACGUCAUACAAUGGUACAUACAGAGGGCCGCCAACCCGCGAGGGGAGCUAAUCCCAGAAAGUGUAUCGUAGUCCGGAUUGUAGUCUGCAACUCG